GGGGGGGGCGGGGGGGGGGGCGGGGGGAGGCGGGGCGGGCGGGCAGGCGAGGGGCUUACUCCUCUGACGUUAGCGGCGGACGGGUGAGUAACACGUGGAUAACCUACCUAUAAGACUGGGAUAACGUCGGGAAACCGGAGCUAAUACCGGAUAACAUGUUGAACCGCAUGGUUCAACAGUGAAAGACGGUCUUGCUGUCACUUAUAGAUGGAUCCGCGUCGCAUUAGCUAGUUGGUAAGGUAACGGCUUACCAAGGCAACGAUGCGUAGCCGACCUGAGAGGGUGAUCGGCCACACUGGAACUGAGACACGGUCCAGACUCCUACGGGAGGCAGCAGUAGGGAAUCUUCCGCAAUGGGCGAAAGCCUGACGGAGCAACGCCGCGUGAGUGAAGAAGGUCUUCGGAUCGUAAAACUCUGUUAUUAGGGAAGAACAAAUGUGUAAGUAACUAUGCACGUCUUGACGGUACCUAAUCAGAAAGCCACGGCUAACUACGUG
rnacentral:rRNA from 1 species